UGAGUAUCCAACCCACCAAACAGGUUUCAGGCAUUCCCAGUAAACUUCCGCAAGAGAUGAGUGUUCGCUGAAAUUUCUUGGUAUAAUUAGACUCCGUGGACCUGACCGAUUAGGUAAAACGAACUUCAUCGAAAUAAUCUUCCGAAACUGAUGGGUUUUUUUCGCCCUGCCUCCGUGAAAGGGACCUGAUAAAUGGAUCAUCCUGGAUCUCUGUGCUGCCUCCCCAUAUUUUUCUUUCUGCUGCUGCCUCUGCCCUUCAGCAGAGGGGAUUCUGGGUUCUUCACGGUGGUUAUCGAUGGAAAUGAAGGCGCAGCGCGUCUACUUGCGCAGAAACACAACAUGACCUACAUUGCUCCAAUUGCCUCGAUGUCCAGUGUGCACAUCCUCAGGAGGAGAUUGCGGAAAGAUGCAAGGUCCACCACCCAACUCCUCCGAUUGAGGCAAGACAGGAGGUUUCCUCAUCUCGCCAGUAUAGCCCCCAUUCCCCUCUCAAGGUGUCCUAAUGAUUUCUGGAAGUCCCACACAGGCCACCUGCCCGCACUCGCUCUCCCGUGCUCUGCUCUUUUGCCCCCAGCCUCCCUUCGCACCGCUGCCCUCCCCCGGGAUGCAAACAACCUUGUGAUGCCUUAUAAAUGGGCCCAGUGGGAAGGCUUCACUCCUCUCAUUAGCUCAUGGAUCGCUGUCAGUAUUCGUAGUAAAGUCUUCGCCAUUAGCGCUAGCUUCCUUCAGGCCUCAGGCUCUCAGCCGGUCACCUCGGCCAUUGAUACAGGAAAGGGCAAACUGAACUUUUGGCUUUUUUGUUUUAAAUUCUGAUUAAAGGUUGGGGGCUGGGGGGUAUAUUUUUGGCUCUUCCUCCUCCUUCAUAGUCAUCGAAUUCCUUUUAUUUGUUAGUCUUCCACUUUCACAUAUUCCUCUUCCCAAAUUCCUGCUUUAUCCCAAAAUCAUAAUUACUUGAGACACGUUAUUUCAGCUAUGUACAUCUGCUCAAUUCUUUUUCAGGAAACUGUGCCGUCCAGUUGUCAGUUUUUCAAUGCUAUGCAAGUCCACAGACAAAAAGCAUUUUCGGCUUCAAGUGCGGGUGAAAUCACCACCUGUAUGCCAGCAAGUCCUUGCAUUGUUCACAUUACAUUUGAAAUUGUCCAAGUAAUCUUGCAAUUCACAGUGAGGGAAGCAGAUAGCACAGUGCCAGGCAGCUACAGGUAAAGCUAAUAGGCUUUUCGGCUGUACUUGUAGGUUAAUAAAUUAUAAGUCAAAACAGAUUGUGUGAACACCGCAGAAAUUUAGUGAGACCUCAUCGAAGAUAUUGUGUAUUGUUUUGGUGACCACAUAUGAGGAAUGACGUAGUUGCCAUGGAGAGGGUUUAGCAUGUAAGAGUGACUAGAGUUUGAUUCUGGACCUAGCUUGACUAAGCUAUGCGGUGUGGCUGAAGGACACAAGACGUAAUAUAGGACAAAGGAGGAGAUUUUGAGAGGAUCUGAUCAAGAUGUUUUAGGUUAUCAAGCAUAUAAACAACUUAAUUGCAGAGGUUUCUUCAGCAGAAUGAACAGUGAUAGGACUGGGGCCAUAUCCUUAAAUAAGAUGAGAGGUCAGGCAGGGGUCUUUCACAUCGAGUAGGUGAUGCAUUGAAUCGUUUCCCUGGAAAGGCAGUGGCAGCAGAAAGAGUAAAUGGGCUGAAAUUGGAAUCUGAUAGGUACCCAGAAUCAUUGCGAAUGGAAGUGUGCAUGGAUAUUGUUACGGCUGUGGAAAUUCACAAACCACCAUUCAGGGCCCGUAGGUGAGAUAAUUCUAAGUAGAUGUGUAGUUAGCCCCAAACCCGUUGUUUAGAGGGAAUUUAUGUGAUUCAUUCGGGCUGCGACGCUUUGAGAUAGCCGUUUUUCUGUUCUAUCUUUAUUUUGAACCGCCAUAACCAUCAAAUCACCACCGAUAAACCCUAGACCACCUUCACCUCUCUCCUUCUACGGCCAUUCCCGCACCACCUGUGAACACUGAGCGUUGGGCUGUCUUGGGCUCGUUCAAGCGAAACGCACCGAGCCGCGAGUGCAAAUAGCGGCCUUUCCGAGGGAAAAUUCGGAUCAAGAAUGCUACACGCCCACUUCUGAUCCGUCCAAUCAGCAAGUGCGGAGAGGCUUGGCCCCGCCUCCAGGGCGUCCGUGUGAAAUCGAAAUAUGCAAAUUAUAGGAUCAGGGGAGGUUCACGCCCACUUUUCCUCCGUCCAAUGGGCGAGCGUGGCUCCGCCCCCGAGCUCAUCCUGAUCUGGAAAUUUGCAUAUGGGUUCUCCUGCCGGCCUAUAAAAUGCCGAGCGCAAGGCGAAUCGCAGCAGAGUCAGUUUUGAAAGCAGAGUUUUGGGGCAGAGAGUGAGUUUUGGGAAGAGAGUCAUUGGGCGGAGUGUGGCAGCGGCGGAGUGUGGCAGCGGCGGAGUGUGGCAGAGAGUGGAGUCGGGAG
rnacentral:lncRNA from 1 species